AGAAGCAAAUCUUCUUAUUACUCCACAACUACUACCGACGUCUUUACUUUCACCGCUUCGCCACCUCUAUCAAAUCUAUCAUCAGUUCCAGCGCCACCUCCUAGUCCACCGUUUCUACAGAUUUCAUCAUCAGAUAUGUCUGUUUGAUUUGGCUAUCACCAUCACCACCACCUCUUCCGCCACCACCAUCUCUGCCUCUGCCACCGUCUUCGAUUUAAAGAUAAAACACUGUCUAUUGUACGCUGUGGAUAUGUAGGUGUUGACUGGAGUAGUCAGUGACACGUCUGGAUUUGGGAAGAAGUGGUAUGUAAGAGAUGAUUUUUUUCCUAUUUCGGGUCGCAUUUGUUGUUGGUCUUUUAGUUCCUGAUCCUUGCAAACUAUAUAAUAUCUUUCAAGAUAAAUUUGUGGUGUGAUGGUAUCACAACUGACUAUAAUCAGAAGACGCGUGUUCGAUUCACGCCAGGUUCUAGCGUUCGUGUAUGUCAAUUGUUUUAGUACAUCAAUUUUGAGAUCUAUUUUGAUUGUUGAUACCAGCUUUUGGGAUCAACUUAGGUUGUUGACACCAAAUUUUGGGAUCAACUUUGGUUGUUGACACCAUAUAUGAUCUAAACAUUUUAUAAAUUAUUAAUUUUGGUAUCAACUUUGGUUGUUGACACCAUAUUUUUGGGAUCAACUUCGGUUGUUGACACUAUAUUAUUUUGUUGGAUCAAAUUUGGUGUUGAUAUCAAAUUUUGAGAUCAAC